GAUGAACGCUGGCGGCGUGCCUAAUACAUGCAAGUCGAGCGAACAGAUGAGGAUCUUGCUCCUCUGACGUUAGCGGCGGACGGGUGAGUAACACGUGGAUAACCUACCUAUAAGACUGGGAUAACUACGGGAAACCGGAUCUAACACCGGAUAAUAUAUUGAACCGCAUGGUUCAAUAGUGAAAGACGGUUUUGCUGUCACUUAUAGAUGGAUCCGCGCGGCAUUAGCUAGUUGGUAAGGUAACGGCUUACCAAGGCUACGAUGCGUAGCCGACCUGAGAGGGUGAUCGGCCACACUGGAACGGAGACACGGUCCAGACUCCUACGGGAGGCAGCAGUAGGGAAUCGUCCGCAAUGGGCGAAAGCCUGACGGAGCAACGCCGCGUGAGUGAUGAAGGUCUUCGGAUCGGAAAGCUCUGUUAUUAGGGAAGAACAAAUGUGUAAGUAACUAUGCACGUCUUGACGGUACCUAAUCAGAAAGCCACGGCUAACUACGUG
rnacentral:rRNA from 1 species